CACGUAGGGCGCAAGCGUUGUCCGGAAUUAUUGGGCGUAAAGAGCUCGUAGGCGGUUUGUCGCGUCUGCUGUGAAAACUCGAGGCUCAACCUCGGGCUUGCAGUGGGUACGGGCAGACUAGAGUGCGGUAGGGGUGACUGGAAUUCCUGGUGUAGCGGUGGAAUGCGCAGAUAUCAGGAGGAACACCGAUGGCGAAGGCAGGUCACUGGGCCGCAACUGACGCUGAGGAGCGAAAGCAUGGGGAGCGAACAGG
rnacentral:rRNA from 1 species